AGGCAUGAUACCGCCGUUAUCGGGUCACCCUAAUAGUUGCUAAUGACAACUAUGCUGAGACGUCGGCCGUCGCUGCUUAAGCGGCGUCCUAGUCUCAAAUCAAGCCCUGGGCGGUAGCACGUCCAGGCGCGGUUCGGAGGGCACCGGGCAACAGAAAGCCCUCCACU
rnacentral:tmRNA from 1 species